rnacentral:tRNA from 1 species
CGCGGGGUGGAGCAGCCCGGUAGCUCGUCAGGCUCAUAACCUGAAGGUCCCAAGUUCAAAUCUUGGCCCCGCAACCA